UGGGAUGUAGCUCAGUGGUAGAGCACUUACCUAACAUGCAAGAGAUCCUGGGUUCAGUCCCCAUUACAC
rnacentral:tRNA from 1 species